CAGCUUGCUGCUUCGCUGACGAGUGGCGGACGGGUGAGUAAUGUCUGGGAAACUGCCUGAUGGAGGGGGAUAACUACUGGAAACGGUAGCUAAUACCGCAUAACGUCGCAAGACCAAAGAGGGGGACCUUCGGGCCUCUUGCCAUCGGAUGUGCCCAGAUGGGAUUAGCUAGUAGGUGGGGUAACGGCUCACCUAGGCGACGAUCCCUAGCUGGUCUGAGAGGAUGACCAGCCACACUGGAACUGAGACACGGUCCAGACUCCUACGGGAGGCAGCAGUGGGGAAUAUUGCACAAUGGGCGCAAGCCUGAUGCAGCCAUGCCGCGUGUAUGAAGAAGGCCUUCGGGUUGUAAAGUACUUUCAGCGGGGAGGAAGGGAGUAAAGUUAAUACCUUUGCUCAUUGACGUUACCCGCAGAAGAAGCACCGGCUAACUCCGUGCCAGCAGCCGCGGUAAUACGGAGGGUGCAAGCGUUAAUCGGAAUUACUGGGCGUAAAGCGCACGCAGGCGGUUUGUUAAGUCAGAUGUGAAAUCCCCGGGCUCAACCUGGGAACUGCAUCUGAUACUGGCAAGCUUGAGUCUCGUAGAGGGGGGGUAGAAUUCCAGGUGUAGCGGUGAAAUGCGUAGAGAUCUGGAGGAAUACCGGUGGCGAAGGCGGCCCCCUGGACGAAGACUGACGCUCAGGUGCGAAAGCGU
rnacentral:rRNA from 1 species